UCGGAGAGUUUGAUCCUGGCUCAGGAUGAACGCUGGCGGCGUGCCUAAUACAUGCAAGUCGAGCGAACUGAUUAGAAGCUUGCUUCUAUGACGUUAGCGGCGGACGGGUGAGUAACACGUGGGCAACCUG
rnacentral:rRNA from 1 species